UCUUAACAGUUUUUGACUUUGUGAGCUUAUCAAUCUAAAAGAAUGUAAUGCUGAAGUCUCUUUUCAGAGAGAGAUAGAGAGAGAGUGCUUGUGAGUUUGAUGGAGAAAAUGGGGUGAACUAGGAAGAUAUGCAGCUGGGGGGGUUAGUAUCACGGUGCUGCUGAUCACAGCCGCGUUAUUUUACUGGUUUCAUUCGUUUGAUUUGAAGGUUAUUGAAGUGAGGAGUUCCAUUUCCAACACAAACAGUGGACUUGGUCAAGAAGAUCCAUUUGCACAAACAACAAACAGGUAUAAGUGACAUAUGAAGUGAAGAUCUUGAAGGGUCCUUUGGAACAAUAUUUAGUAGCUAGAAUAACUUAAAUUAUUAUUCUGGCCUGGAUCCACUACUUGGGUUUUUAUUGCCGGUACAAGGACCAGGCUUUUGCAAAGUCCAAGCCAGUUGCUUUAUUGUUCUUGGCUGGAGUCAUGGCAACAUUAUUACAUUCUGAGUCCAGACGAUUAUAUUCUUGGUGGUGGGACAGCCACAUUAGCCCAAAGAAUUCGAAAUGGCUUCAAGAAAAUCUCACAGAUAUGGAUGCCAAAGUCAAAGCAAUGAUCAAGGUCAUUGAAGAAGAUGCCGAUUCUUUUGCAAGGAGGGCAGAAAUGUACUAUAAGAAGCGUCCUGAACUGAUGAAACUGGUGGAGGAAUUCUACAGAGCUUACCGUGCAUUAGCAGAGAGAUAUGAUCAUGCAACAGUGGAGCUCCGCCAGGCUCAUCGAACAAUGUCAGAAGCAUUUCCCAACCAAGUACCGUAUGUACUGGGAGAUGAUUCACCUUCAGGAUCUUCUGGCCCCGAGGGUGAGCCGCAUUCUCUAGAAAUGCCACAUCCCAUUCGUGCAUUUCUUGACCCAGAUGACUUGCGUAUGGAUUCAUUGGGACUCUCUAUUAACAAAACAGGUUUAAAGCAGCUCAAUGAGUUGUUUGGCUCACGAGAUGCAAUAUCCCAAGUUUCAAAAGUUGCAGAUGGAAAAUUGAAAAAAUGCCUGAAGAUUCAUGAAGUAGCAGAGGUUAACACCGGAAAGCAAGCUGAAACUGAAUUUCAAAUCAUAAAGAAAGCUCUUUCAGAGAUUCAAACUGAGAAGGAAGCUGUUCUUCUUCAAUACCAGCAGAGCUUGCAGAAGUUAUCCAGCUUGGAGAGAGAACUAAAUGAUUUCAGAGGGAUUGAUGAAAGAGCAGGCAAAGCAGAAAUUGAAAUUAAGAUCCUGAAGGAAGCCCUUGUUAAAUUAGAAGCUGAGAGGGAUGCUGGUCUUCUUCAGUACAACAAAUGCUUGGAAAGAAUAUCUGCUUUAGAGAAUGUGAUCUCUAAAAUGGAAGAGGACGCAAAAGGUCUCAAUGAACGAGCUAUUAAAGCUGAAAUAGAAGCUCAAAAUCUCAAGGAAGAACUUUCAGGAUUAGAGGCUGAAAAGGAAGCUAGUCUUCUUCAGUACAACCAAUGUCUUGAACUGAUAUCCAAUUUGCAGAAGAAAAUCUUGAUUGCAGAGGAAAAUGCUAGAAUGCUCAAUGCAUUAACCGAAACAGCAGAAACUGAAGCUAAAGCAUUGAAGGAGGCCCUCGCUAAAUUGAGCGAAGAGAAAGAAGCUGCAGAACUUCAGUAUGAGCUGUGUUUGGAGAAAAUAGCUAUAAUGGAGAGUGAAAUUUCUCAUGCUCAGGAGGACGUCAAUCGACUAAACAGUGAAAUUCUGUCAGGGACUGCGAAAUUGAAAACCGCAGAAGAACAGUGUUUCCUGUUACAGAGAUCAAAUCAAUCUCUGCAGUCAGAGGCAGAUACUCUAGUACAGAAGAUAGAAACUAAGGAUCAAGAACUGUCAGAGAAGGUAAAUGAGUUGGAGAAGCUUCAGGCUUCGCUGCAAGAUGAGCAGUCACAGUUUCUUCAAGUUGAAGCCACUUUGCACUCAUUGCAGAAAUUGCACUCUCAAUCUCAAGAGGAGCAGAGAGCUUUGGCAAUUGAGCUUCAGAAUCACUUCCAAAUGUUGAAGGAUUUAGAGAUAUCCAACCAUGAUCUGCAGGAGAACCUUCAACAGGUUAAGGAAGAGAACCAGAACCUCCAUGAAUUGAACAGUAAUUUCGUUAUUUCAAUAACAGAUUUGAAAAAUGAAAUUUUUAGCCUGAAGGAAAUGAAAGAGAAACUUGAAGAGGAUGUUUCCCUACAAGCUGCACAGAGCAAUUCCCUACAGCAAGAGAUUUUCCAUUUGAAGGAGGAAAUUGAGGGCUUGAGUACAAGAUAUUGGGUUUUCAUGGAGCAAGUGGACGCGGUAGGUUUAAAUCCAGAGUGCCUUGGUUCAUCUGUGAAGAACUUGCAAGAUGAAAACUUGAAACUAAAAGAGGUCUGCAAAAAGGACACAGAAGAAAAGGAAGUUCUCCAUGAAAAGUUGAGCACAAUGAAUAACAUUAAGGAGAACAAUGUGGCACUGGAGAGGUCCCUCUCAGAUUUGAAUCGCAUGCUGGAAGGGUCAAGAGAGAAGGUUAAAGAGUUGCAGGAGUCCUCCCAGUUUCUUCAGGGAGAAAAAUCCAGUCUUGUUUCUGAAAAAUCCAUCCUGCUUUCUCAGUUACAGAUGAUGACAGAGAAUUUGCAGAAGCUCUUGGAGAAAAAUGCCUCGCUGGAGAAUUCUCUCUCUGGUGCAACUAUUGAGCUCGAAGGUCUGAGGACAAGGUCAAGAAGCUUAGAAGAAUUCUGCCAGACUCUAAAAAAUGAGAAAGCCAAUCUUGAAGAUGAAAGAAGCUCCCUGGUCUUACAGCUGAAAAAUGUUGAAGAGAGACUGGGAAACCUAGAAAGGAGAUUUACAAGAUUAGAAGAAAAAUACACUGAUCUGGAGAAGGAAAAUGAUUCUACACUUUCUCAAGUAAAGGACCUGUGGGGUUUUCUUAGUGUAGAAAAACAAGAGCAUUCAUGUUAUAUGCAGUCAAGUGAAUCUCGACUUGCAGAUCUGGAAAGCCAGGUCCAUCAACUACAUGAAGAAAGUAGGUCGAGCAAGAAAGAAUUCGAAGAAGAACUGGAUAAAGCUGUAAAUGCUCAGGUUGAGAUCUUCAUCUUGCAGAAGUUUAUUAAAGAUUUAGAAGAGAAGAAUUUGUCCCUGUUGAUUGAGUGUCAGAAACAUGUCGAAGCAUCCAAAUUCUCAGAUAAACUGAUAUCAGAAUUAGAGACUGAAAAUCUUGAGCAGCAGGCUGAAGUAGAAUUCUUGUUAGAUGAAAUAGAAAAGUUUAGAAUGGGUGUUCGUCAAGUUUUGAGGGCUCUUCAAUUUGAUCCAGUUAAUGAGCAUGAAGAUGGGAAUCUUGCAUGUAUUUUGGACAAUAUUGGUGACCUAAAAAGUUUGCUCCUUUUAAAGGAGGAUGAGAAACAGCAGUUGGUGGUUGAGAAUUUGGUGUUGUUAACUUUACUCGAACAACUGAGAUUAGAUGGUGUUGAGCUUGAGACAGAGAAAAGCAUCAUAGAGCAGGAGUUCAAGAUAAUGGUAGAGCAACAUACUCUGCUGGAAAAAAGUAACCACGAACUGCUAGAGAUGAACAGGCAAUUGAGAUUGGAAGUGAGCAAGGGAGAGCAGCAGGAUGAGGAAUUGAAAGCUCAACUUGAAACCCAGCAUUUGAAUCUGGCAAGUUUGCAGGGGUCGUACGGGCAAUUGAAAGAAGAAAAUCUGAAGGUGCUUGGAGAAAACAGGUCUUUGCUUCGGAAAGUUUUGGACCUCAAAGAGGAAAUGCAUGUACUUGAAGAGGAAAACAGUAGCAUUCUCCAGGAAGCUGUAACUGUCAAUAACCUCUCAUCGGUGUUUGAGAGCUUUGCGGCAGAGAAAGUUGAGGAACUCGAAUCCCUUUCUGAAGAUAUCAGCUUUCUAAACUUGAUGAACAGUGAUCUCAAGCAGAAGGUUGAAAUGUUGGGGGAUAAACUGUUAUCAAAAGAAUCAGAAAAUCUGCAUCUUAAUAAAAGAAUUGAAGAGCUGCAGCAGGAACUGCAGGAAGAAAAAGACUUUACAGAUCAAUUAAACUGUCAAAUUGUAAUUGAAAAAGAUUUUCUUCAAGAGAAAGCAACAGAGCUUUUCCUAGCGGAACAAAAUAUCACAGCUACCAACAACUUAAAUGCAGAAUUUCACACCACUAUUGAGGAGCUUAAGAGGCAAUGUGAAGCAUCAGAACUUGCAAGAGAGAACAUAGAUAAGCGGAUUCUUGAACUGUCUCAAGUUUGUACAGAUCAGAAAAUAGAGAUUGAAUGCCUUAAUGAAGCAAAAGACGAUCUGGAGUCAGAAAUGGCUGCAUUACUCAAUGAAAUCAAGGAAAGACAGACUAAGGAAGAGAACUUGAGUUUGGAGCUGCAAGAAAGAAGCAACGAGACUGAACUCUGGGAAGCUGAGGCUUCAUCUUUCUUCUUUGAUCUUCAAAUAUCUUCUAUCCACGAAGUUCUGCUUCAGAACAAGGUUCGUGAGCUGACUGUAGUUUGUGGGAGUCUUGAAGAAGAAAAUGGUAAAAAAGAUAUUGAGAUUGAAAAAAUGAAAGAAAGGUUUGGCAACCUGGAAAGCGAAAUUCAAAGAAUGAAGGCUCAUUUGUCUGCAUAUGCUCCGGUCAUAACUUCACUGAGAGAGAAUAUAGAAUAUCUUGAGCACAAUGUGCUUCUUCAGACAAGUCGAGGACAGAAGGGAGUAGAAAUGACUAGUCAACAUCAUGAAAAGAGCACUGAAGGACUCAUAAAUGAUGAAAGCGUUGCAGUAACAGAUGGAAUUUCAGAUUUGCUGAAGAUGAAGUCUAGAAUUAACGCAGUGGGUGAGGCAGUGGUUAAAGAAAUGGAUAGGCUUGCAGCUGAAAAGGCAAUGUUGAAAGAAAUGGAUAGGCUUAGAAUGCAGGAAAUGGGGAACACUGAGGAGCCCUUAGUGAAAGGGGCUGAACAGUUAGAGAUGAGAGGCCGAUCAGCUGCAGAAAAGGAUGUCCAGAAGGAUGAGAUGGAAUUUGCAAAUAAGCCCCCUGUUGCGGCUAAGCCACAGAACAACAAAUCUGAAAUUUUUGAAGUGAGGAAUGAGAUUUUGAUGAAAGAUAUCCCACUUGAUCAGGUCUCGGAAUGUUCAUUAUACAGGAGAAGCAAGAGAGAGCAUGCUGGGAAAGAUGAUCGGAUGCUUGAAUUAUGGGAAUCUGCUGAGCAAGACUGCCUUGAUCCACUUGCUGACAAACAGAAGCCGACAGCCACUAUUGAGAAUGUUGCUGCGUGUUGUCAGUUCAAAAAUGUCAAACGGAAGAGUCAGGAUCCCUCUUUGGAAUUGCAGAUUGAGAAGGAAGUGGGCAUUGACAAGCUUGAGGUAUCAACAAGCAUCACUAGAGAACCCAAUCAAGAAGGAAACAGAGGAAAGAUCUUAGAGAGGCUUGCUUCUGAUGCUCAGAAAUUAAUUUCUCUUCAAAUAACAGUGCAAGAUUUGAAAAAGAAAAUGGAGUUGAGGAAGAGAGGCAAGAGGGCUAAUGAUCUUGAAUUUGAAAGAGUGAAAAGACAGUUACAAGAAGUUGAGGAGGCUGUUCUGCAGUUGGUUGAUACUAAUGAUCAGCUGACCAAGGAUGUUGAAGAGAGUCCCCCAUAUUUGGAGGGGAACACUUCAGUAGAGAUGGAAGAGACAGGCACCAUGCACAGAAAAAGAGUGGCAGAACAAGCACGGAAAAGGUCUGAAAAGAUCGGAAGGUUACAGUUUGAGGUGCAGAGUAUCCAUUACAUUCUGCUAAAACUGGAGGAUGAAAAGAAAAGCAAAAGUAAGCACAGAUUUUCUGGAGGUAAAACAGGCAUCCUCUUGAGAAACUUCAUAUACAGCGGUGGCAGGAGAAGCAGCAGAAGGCAGAAGAAGGGUUGCUUUUGUGGGUGUGCAAGACCUUCAACUAAUGAAGACUGAGGAAAGCUCCUGUUUCAACUUCCCCUCUUCCCUAAAUCCGCAAAUGGUUAGUAAGCAUGGUCAACAGUCAUCUAAUUCCCUACAGGUCCAAAACUAAGACAUCGAGGUGGUAUUUGUGAAGGUUUAGAUAUGAAUACAGGUAUUUGGCAUUUUGUUGAAGACAAGGAACUCGGGCGGGGCGUACAAUUAUUGGAUGAAAAUCAGAUAUACCCCAAUUGGGAGUAUAACCAGCUUGGUGCAGUUGUGAACUCGAGACCUCCGAUGGUGACCCAUAAACUGGGGAGAAGGGAAUUGUUUAUUAGAUGUAGAAGUUGGUAGAUUCUUAUCCAACCCUUGUACCCCUUAGCCAUCCCAAGCCAGUUAGCGGUUAAGGUAGCAGAUUUCUUUUUCUUUUUUUUUUUGCAACUUAAUUUUCAAUAAAGAAGAUCGCGAGAACUCAAACUAUAGGAUGUACGAAUUCUUCCAUAGUUUGAUGAAGUACUCUGUUUUUUUUAUCGUAAAAGAGUUCAAACUUGACAAGAGCAUGAUGUUGAUGUCUAA